CCGUGAGAGCGGGAGCCCGGAGAUGGGCACUGAGACAAGGGCCCAGGCCCUACGGGGCGCAGCAGUUGCGAAAACUCCGCAAUGCACGAAAGUGUGACGGGGCUACCCCGAGUGCCGUCCGCUGAGGGCGGCUUUUCCCCGGUGUAAGGAGCCGGGGGAAUAAGGAGAGGGCAAGUCUGGUGUCAGCCGCCGCGGUAAUACCAGCUCUCCGAGUGGUAGGGAUGAUUAUUGGGCUUAAAGCGUCCGUAGCUGGCCUAGCAAGUCUUCCGUUAAAUCCACCGAUUCAUCGUUGGACUGCGGGAGAUACUGUUGGGCUAGGGGGCGGGAGAGGCCGACGGUAUUCUCGGGUAGGGGUAAAUCCUAUAUCCCGGGAGGACACAGUGGCGAAGCGGUCGGCUAGACGCGCCCGACGUGAAGGCGA
rnacentral:rRNA from 1 species